AUCUAUCUGACGAGUCCUAAAUAGAACGAAACGAGCUUUCUGGAU
rnacentral:hammerhead_ribozyme from 1 species